rnacentral:rRNA from 1 species
GGUUAAGCGACUAAGCGUACACGGUGGAUGCCCUGGCAGUCAGAGGCGAUGAAGGACGUGCUAAUCUGCGAUAAGCGUCGGUAAGGUGAUAUGAACCGUUAUAACCGGCGAUUUCCGAAUGGGGAAACCCAGUGUGUUUCGACACACUAUCAUUAACUGAAUCCAUAGGUUAAUGAGGCGAACCGGGGGAACUGAAACAUCUAAGUACCCCGAGGAAAAGAAAUCAACCGAGAUUCCCCCAGUAGCGGCGAGCGAACGGGGAGGAGCCCAGAGCCUGAAUCAGUGUGUGUGUUAGUGGAAGCGUCUGGAAAGGCGCGCGAUACAGGGUGACAGCCCCGUACACAAAAAUGCACAUGCUGUGAGCUCGAUGAGUAGGGCGGGACACGUGGUAUCCUGUCUGAAUAUGGGGGGACCAUCCUCCAAGGCUAAAUACUCCUGACUGACCGAUAGUGAACCAGUACCGUGAGGGAAAGGCGAAAAGAACCCCGGCGAGGGGAGUGAAAAAGAACCUGAAACCGUGUACGUACAAGCAGUGGGAGCACGCUUAGGCGUGUGACUGCGUACCUUUUGUAUAAUGGGUCAGCGACUUAUAUUCUGUAGCAAGGUUAACCGAAUAGGGGAGCCGAAGGGAAACCGAGUCUUAACUGGGCGUUAAGUUGCAGGGUAUAGACCCGAAACCCGGUGAUCUAGCCAUGGGCAGGUUGAAGGUUGGGUAACACUAACUGGAGGACCGAACCGACUAAUGUUGAAAAAUUAGCGGAUGACUUGUGGCUGGGGGUGAAAGGCCAAUCAAACCGGGAGAUAGCUGGUUCUCCCCGAAAGCUAUUUAGGUAGCGCCUCGUGAAUUCAUCUCCGGGGGUAGAGCACUGUUUCGGCAAGGGGGUCAUCCCGACUUACCAACCCGAUGCAAACUGCGAAUACCGGAGAAUGUUAUCACGGGAGACACACGGCGGGUGCUAACGUCCGUCGUGAAGAGGGAAACAACCCAGACCGCCAGCUAAGGUCCCAAAGUCAUGGUUAAGUGGGAAACGAUGUGGGAAGGCCCAGACAGCCAGGAUGUUGGCUUAGAAGCAGCCAUCAUUUAAAGAAAGCGUAAUAGCUCACUGGUCGAGUCGGCCUGCGCGGAAGAUGUAACGGGGCUAAACCAUGCACCGAAGCUGCGGCAGCGACGCUUAUGCGUUGUUGGGUAGGGGAGCGUUCUGUAAGCCUGUGAAGGUGUGCUGUGAGGCAUGCUGGAGGUAUCAGAAGUGCGAAUGCUGACAUAAGUAACGAUAAAGCGGGUGAAAAGCCCGCUCGCCGGAAGACCAAGGGUUCCUGUCCAACGUUAAUCGGGGCAGGGUGAGUCGACCCCUAAGGCGAGGCCGAAAGGCGUAGUCGAUGGGAAACAGGUUAAUAUUCCUGUACUUGGUGUUACUGCGAAGGGGGGACGGAGAAGGCUAUGUUGGCCGGGCGACGGUUGUCCCGGUUUAAGCGUGUAGGCUGGUUUUCCAGGCAAAUCCGGAAAAUCAAGGCUGAGGCGUGAUGACGAGGCACUACGGUGCUGAAGCAACAAAUGCCCUGCUUCCAGGAAAAGCCUCUAAGCAUCAGGUAACAUCAAAUCGUACCCCAAACCGACACAGGUGGUCAGGUAGAGAAUACCAAGGCGCUUGAGAGAACUCGGGUGAAGGAACUAGGCAAAAUGGUGCCGUAACUUCGGGAGAAGGCACGCUGAUAUGUAGGUGAAGCGACUUGCUCGUGGAGCUGAAAUCAGUCGAAGAUACCAGCUGGCUGCAACUGUUUAUUAAAAACACAGCACUGUGCAAACACGAAAGUGGACGUAUACGGUGUGACGCCUGCCCGGUGCCGGAAGGUUAAUUGAUGGGGUUAGCGCAAGCGAAGCUCUUGAUCGAAGCCCCGGUAAACGGCGGCCGUAACUAUAACGGUCCUAAGGUAGCGAAAUUCCUUGUCGGGUAAGUUCCGACCUGCACGAAUGGCGUAAUGAUGGCCAGGCUGUCUCCACCCGAGACUCAGUGAAAUUGAACUCGCUGUGAAGAUGCAGUGUACCCGCGGCAAGACGGAAAGACCCCGUGAACCUUUACUAUAGCUUGACACUGAACAUUGAGCCUUGAUGUGUAGGAUAGGUGGGAGGCUUUGAAGUGUGGACGCCAGUCUGCAUGGAGCCGACCUUGAAAUACCACCCUUUAAUGUUUGAUGUUCUAACGUUGACCCGUAAUCCGGGUUGCGGACAGUGUCUGGUGGGUAGUUUGACUGGGGCGGUCUCCUCCUAAAGAGUAACGGAGGAGCACGAAGGUUGGCUAAUCCUGGUCGGACAUCAGGAGGUUAGUGCAAUGGCAUAAGCCAGCUUGACUGCGAGCGUGACGGCGCGAGCAGGUGCGAAAGCAGGUCAUAGUGAUCCGGUGGUUCUGAAUGGAAGGGCCAUCGCUCAACGGAUAAAAGGUACUCCGGGGAUAACAGGCUGAUACCGCCCAAGAGUUCAUAUCGACGGCGGUGUUUGGCACCUCGAUGUCGGCUCAUCACAUCCUGGGGCUGAAGUAGGUCCCAAGGGUAUGGCUGUUCGCCAUUUAAAGUGGUACGCGAGCUGGGUUUAGAACGUCGUGAGACAGUUCGGUCCCUAUCUGCCGUGGGCGCUGGAGAACUGAGGGGGGCUGCUCCUAGUACGAGAGGACCGGAGUGGACGCAUCACUGGUGUUCGGGUUGUCAUGCCAAUGGCACUGCCCGGUAGCUAAAUGCGGAAGAGAUAAGUGCUGAAAGCAUCUAAGCACGAAACUUGCCCCGAGAUGAGUUCUCCCUGAC